GUGUGGAUGUGUGUGGUGUGGCCUUCAGGCUUUUCUCACACCUGUUGAGCUCUGCAGUCAAGUGUGAAAUCUGCCUGAAAGUCAUUCCAACAUUCAAAUAUGC
ensembl:miRNA